AUGACAGGCAUAUACAGGCAGCUAGUGUCUGUUCUCUUACAACUUUGUCUUUGUCCUGCCUCCAGGAGGGACAGACCAUCUGGGUCAUUUUUCUUUGGAAACUUCUCAUUGUCCAUUGGGGGUGGAGGUGGGGGUUUCCAGAAGUGUUGGUUGAGUGACUUACUGACUGGCUGGGAGGCUUUCACUGCCCAGGAGAUGAAUCCUCCCCCGACCCCCAGGACAGAACAUGGAAGGUACUCUCUCCUCUCUUGCAGACGCCGGCUGGGCCCCCACGUCUGCCUCUCGGGAUUCGGGAGUGGCUGCUGCCCUGGCUGGGCGCCCUCCAUGGGCAGUGGGCACUGCACCCUUCCCCUCUGCUCCUUUGGCUGUGGGAGUGGCAUCUGCAUCGCUCCCAAUGUCUGCUCCUGCCAGGACGGAGAGCAAGGGCCCACCUGCCCAGAAGCCCAUGGACCCUGCGGGGAAUACGGCUGUGAUCUCACCUGUAACCACGGCGGCUGUCAGGAGGUGGCCCGAGUGUGCCCCGUGGGGUUCUCCAUGACCGAGACAGCGGUUGGCAUCAGGUGUACUGACAUUGAUGAAUGUUUAAGCUCCUCUUGCGAGGGCCACUGCGUGAACACGGAAGGCGGGUUCGUGUGCGAGUGUGGGCCGGGCAUGCAGCUGUCUGCGGACCGCCACAGCUGCCAAGACACUGAUGAAUGCCUUGGGACCCCCUGCCAGCAGAGAUGUAAAAACAGCAUUGGCAGCUACAGGUGUUCCUGUAGAACUGGCUUCCAUCUCCAUGGCAACCGGCACUCCUGUGUAGCUUUCCCCAAAGCUGUGCUGGCCCCGUCUGCCAUCCUGCAGCCUCUACAGCGCCCUCCUAAGAUGCUCCUGCUGCUUCCAGAGGCAGGCCGGCCCGCCCUCUCCCCCGGGCACAGCCCUCCUUCUGGGGCUCCAGGGUCCCCGACUGGAGUCAGGAGCACACGACCACCACCUCCCUCUCCUGCACUGUCCACGUUCUCCCCUUCCGCCCCAACGCCGCUGCUGUCCACCCUGGUGGCCACCCCCGUGCCGCAUCCCUCUCUGCUGGGAACCCUCAGACCUCCCGCACAACUCCAGGAGAAGACGGCGGUGACCCCUCCCUUGCCCAGGGGCCCGGAGACCACACGGCUGGCACCAGGACCCUCUGCCUGUUGGCACCUAGGGGCCACGUAUGAGUCAGGGAGUCGCUGGACAGAGCCUGGCUGUUCCCAGUGCUGGUGUGAGGAUGGGGAGGUGACCUGUGAAAAGGUGACGUGUGAAGCUGCUUGCUCCCACCCGAUUCCCUCCAGAGAUGGAGGGUGCUGCCCAUCGUGUACAGGCUGUUUUCACAGUGGCGUCGUCCGGGCUGAAGGGGACGUUUUUUCACCUCCUAACCAAAACUGCACCGUCUGUGUCUGUCUGGCUGGAAACGUGUCCUGCAUCUCCCCUGAGUGUCCCCCCGACCCCUGCCAGGCCUCCCCGAAGUCAGACUGCUGUACUUGCAUCCCAGUGAGAUGCUAUUUCCAUGGCCGGUGGUAUGCAGACGGGGCCGUGUUCAGUGGGGGUGGUGAUGAGUGUACCACCUGUGUCUGCCAGAACGGGGAGGUGGAAUGUUCCUUCACACCAUGUCCGGAACUGGACUGCCCCCGCGAGGAGUGGUGGCUGGGCCCUGGGCAGUGCUGCUAUGCCUGCAGGGAACCCGUGCCCAUGACAGGCUGCUCUCUCGAUGACAACGGGGUUGAGUUUCCGGUUGGACAGAUCUGGUCUCCCGGUGAUCCCUGUGAGUUAUGCAUCUGCCAGGCAGAUGGCUCAGUGAGCUGCAAGAGGACAGACUGUGUGGACUCCUGCCCUCACCCGAUUCGAAUCCCCGGACAGUGCUGCCCAGACUGUUCGGCAGGCUGCACCUACACAGGCAGAAUCUUCUACAACAACCAGACCUUCCCAUCUGUGCUGGACCCGUGCCUGAGCUGCAUCUGCCUGCUGGGCUCCGUGGCCUGCUCGCCCGUGGACUGCCCCAUCACCUGCUCCUACCCUUUCCACCCUGAUGGGGAGUGCUGUCCAGUGUGCCAAGACUGCAACUACGAGGGGAGGAAGGUGGGGAACGGCCAGGUCUUCACCUUGGACGAUGAACCCUGUACCCAAUGCGUAUGCCAGCUGGGAGAGGUUACCUGCGAGAAGGUGUCCUGCCAGCAGGCCUGCUCGGACCGCACCACGCCCCGCAGGGACUGCUGCUCCUCCUGUCCAGAGUCCCUGGAGGAGAGCCGGGUACUGUCCCCUCGUGGAGACGUGGAGCUCAGCAAAGCAGCCCGGAGCCCCCGUGGAGACCCCGAGGCCCCCAUCAACUGCAGCUCCUGCCCAGGGCCCCCAGCGGUGGCUCCUCAGAGGCCAGCGCUCCAGCUCCUCCAGCUCCUCUUGAGAAUGAACCUGUCUAACACCCAGACUUUACCCGUGAGCCCCUCAGGAGCCCAGGCCUCACCCUCACCGUCUUCGAGGCCAGGGGGGCCCGGGGCCUCCCAGCCUCCUCAGCCUUCAUCGGGGCCUCUGAUCCCUCCAGGAGCCUCCUCUCUACCUCCAGCCUCUCCCAGGGCUCCCGGACCCCCACCUUUGACUCCAGCGUUCCCGUCCUCCGCCUCCGGGGCCCAGUCAGCGUCCAGAAGGCCUUCUCUGCCUGCCGCUGUCCCUCGUGGAGCCUCAGCCCUUUCCACAACAGGCCCCGGCGCUUCAGAGACCCCCGUCACUGUCCUCAGGCCUCGCAGGUCCUCUCCAGCCACCUCCAGACUCUCUGCAGCCCUCGUGGCCACAGCCAGCCCCAGCCCCCGGCAGCCCACCCUGGGGACCUCACAGGAGGAGGAGUCCACGGUGUAA
rnacentral:lncRNA from 1 species